GUUGAAAAGCAGUUUUCUUCACAGGCAAAACUAAAGGCACAAAAAGGCAACUAUCCACUGUGCUUUGAAUUCAGAUGGCUUGCAGCUCACAGGACGAUUCUCAAACUCUCAGAGUUAAACUUUGGCUGGGAAAAGAGAAAAAAGUAGUGCAUCUAGCAGAAGAGAUACGAGGUCUUUCAUCUCAUUAACCUUAGGAAAAGGGAGGAGGAAAGAAGACCGGCCCUUCACAGCUAUCCCAGCAUCUCAUGGUUUCAGGUUGCACUCAUGGAAGGUGCGGUUCAUCCAAAGCGCUGUACAGGAAUAUGCAGUUCUGGCCAUCAGACUCGUCCUGCUCCUCUGCUGGAUCAAUAGUGUUCGGCUACAGCCACAAUAUCAUUUCAAUCACUUUGAUUGUGCUAAAGAUUGGACAGCUUCCAUGAUCAUUACCGCCCAUGUGCCACUGUGUGUUUGUGAAGCGUUU
ensembl:lncRNA